GCUAACGAUAUUCAAAAAGUACAUACCUCAAAGAAAACGAUGACGCGAGUUAUCGUCUCUAACGUUCGAGGACUACAAAAAACACUCGGAUUGUAGGCAACAGUUUACUUCCUGGGAUUAGUGACGUAGAUAAGACCAACAUUAUCAUAGUUCAGCCCUCUCUGCUUUGCUUGGGUACGCCCUCAAAGACGAGGGUGGGGAGCGCCGAGUCAGAAGAGAGCUAAAAUGGCGGAGGUUGGGAGUCCCUGCUUUCACUCUGUUUGGAAACUCUUGUUUCAUAGUUUAAGCGAUUAAAUCUCUCGAGUAGACGCUGUCUCUUUAGAUGCGAGGGCAAAAUAGCACUUUAUGGACUUACACAGAGGACAUCAUGUUUAAUACGGUUCCGGAAAAAUCCAGUCAGAAGUUGUUCACGGAGUUUUCACAAUAACUGCUUCUCAUGAACCGAAGCUGGACGUCUCCUUCUGAAAGUUGGAUUACUGUGCACUUCUGGAUCACAGGCUAUUCGCAGCUGGACACAUCCUUCUACACUGUAUGCAAACAUGCAACAUCAUAACACACAGUACAAGGAGUCAGACUGGCAUAUGAGGAGCAAAGGAACCCAGGCAGUAGCAUCGUUUCACAAUGUUUCCAUCACCAUCAUCAGUGGAUGCCUUUGCCGUCCGUAGCCUGAGAUUUCAGAUUUGCAGCAAAAAAAAUUGAUUUUCUCAUUUAUUGGAAUGCUAUGCAGGUUGUACCUUGCAGCCAUCCAUUACAAUGUCACCAAGCCGUAACAAAAGCAGGAGAGGGAAAGUACAAGGCUAUGUUCCCAAAACACAAAUGACAUACCUUAUGUGGAUGAUGUGAUCAGGCUUGUGUUUGCUGAGGUAUUUGAAGAUAAGCUGAAGGAAACCCCGAUUCCAAUGGACCUGGCAUCACAGUUUGAGAGACCUUCAAAGGAGGACGUGAUUGCAUGCCAUCUUCAGUGCAG